rnacentral:lncRNA from 1 species
CUCACUUUCACAAUCAUACUCAUAUCCAUCAGUGUCAUUAUCCACUGUUCCAACAGAAGACGACGACAUAUUCGUCACUGCAUUCAUCGGAAAGUACCCAGCGGACGAGUAAUUCAAGCCCAAAGACGAUUCAAGCACAGGGAUCCGACCCGAACCCGGGACAGUUGCCGGAUCAUAAUCAUGGGUUGUAGCAAAAGACUGUGGUUGUAUAAGAGUCGAAGAAGAAGAAGGAAGGAAAAACUUCUGGAGAAAAAAGGAAAUGUCAUCGGGCUCUGCAGGUGAAGAAGAUGAAGAAGAAUUGUUGAUAGUUGCAUAUAAAUUUGCCAUUGAUGCUUGAUAUGAAUACAUACAAUUUGCUUAAACGAGAGAUGAAAAAAAGCAAUGUUCAAAAGGGAAUGUUUUUGUUUCUGGUUUCAUCUCUCUGACUCUGCCCAAGUAAUGAAGAUUCAAGUUCAACAACCCCGUUUCAACAGGCUGAGAUCACUGAUUUGAGGUGGCCUGGAGCAACAGGAUGCCAAAAAAUUGUGUGCAGGGUAAAAAUUAACAGCUUAUUAAGUUGCUUUAUUUUUGGAAACAGGUAAUUUUAGAAAUAAUAGAGGUGGUGUUGAAAAGGUUUGACUGGUCUUCUCGGAAGUGGGAACUGAAGAACGUACAGUGAACAGUGUUUUAACAUAGACAGUGUUCUUUU